UACGUAGGGUGCAAGCGUUGUCCGGAAUUAUUGGGCGUAAAGAGCUCGUAGGCGGUUCGUCGCGUCGGCUGUGAAAACCUGAGGCUCAACCUCAGGCCUGCAGUCGAUACGGGCGGACUUGAGUACUGCAGGGGAGACUGGAAUUCCCGGUGUAGCGGUGAAAUGCGCAGAUAUCGGGAAGAACACCCGUGGCGAAGGCGGCUCUCUGGGACGGUACUGACGCUGAGACGCGAAAGCGUGGGGAGCGAACAGG
rnacentral:rRNA from 1 species